rnacentral:rRNA from 1 species
AGAAUCAACGCUGGCGGCAUGCCUAACACAUGCAAGUCGAACGAGAAAGUGGAGCAAUCCAUGAGUAAAGUGGCGCACGGGUGAGUAACACGUGACUAACCUACCCUUGAGUGGGGGAUAACCUAGGGAAACCUGGGCUAAUACCGCAUAAUACCUUCGGGUCAAAGGAGCAAUUCGCUUAAGGAGGGGGUCGCGGCCGAUUAGUUAGUUGGCGGGGUAAUGGCCCACCAAGACUGUGAUCGGUAUCCGGCCUGAGAGGGCGCACGGACACACUGGAACUGAAACACGGUCCAGACUCCUACGGGAGGCAGCAGUGGGGAAUUUGCGCAAUGGGGGAAACCCUGACGCAGCAACGCCGCGUGGAGGAUGAAGUCCCUUGGGACGUAAACUCCUUUUCGAUCGGGACGAUUAUGACGGUACCGGAAGAAGAAGCCCCGGCUAACUUCGUGCCAGCAGCCGC